rnacentral:rRNA from 1 species
UGGGGAAUUUUGGACAAUGGGGGCAACCCUGAUCCAGCCAUCCCGCGUGUGCGAUGAAGGCCUUCGGGUUGUAAAGCACUUUUGGCAGGGAAGAAACAGCCUGGGCUAAUAUCCCGGGCGACUGACGGUACCUGCAGAAUAAGCACCGGCUAACUACGUGCCAGCAGCCGCGGUAAUACGUAGGCAGCGAGCGUUGUUCGGAGUUACGGGGCGUAAAGAGUGCGUAGGCGGCGAGCCAAGUUUGGUGUGAAAUCUCCCGGCUUAACCGGGAGGGUGCGCCGAAAACUGGUUGGCUGGAGUAUGGGAGAGGAAAGCGGAAUUCCUGGUGUAGCGGUGAAAUGCGUAGAUAUCAGGAGGAACACCUGCGGUGUAGACAGCUUUCUGGACCAAGACUGACGCUGAGGCACGAAAGCGUGGGUAGCAAACA